rnacentral:lncRNA from 1 species
GACGGAUGGUCCUUCUCACAUAUGGGCAUUGAAUACAUCACAGGAGAUUUUAUACCUCUUGACAUCCUCAGGGAUGCCGAAGAACUCAUUCAACAAUUGAAUCAUAUCCUCGGGUUGCGCAUCCUCAAACUUACGACUAAGUUUAUCAUUCACAGCUGCCCUUAUGAUGCAACACACUAUUGUGUGGUCAUUGAGCAACUUCAAAUAAGUAUCUCUCGCAGUAUGGGGUGCAUUGACAGCAAGUUCUUCAAGUAUGGGAUCCAUAAGCAUGUAUAGGAUCCUUUCGUG